ensembl:lncRNA
AUGGAAGGUCUGCAAGCCAUCUGGACUCAGGAGGCCCAGGCUGAACUUGAGACUUUCAGCUGGAUUCAGGUGUGCUCCUCGGGUCUCCUUUCUAGAUGCAGGCUGAAGUGGCUGCACCCUCCUAUAGCAUGUUUUUCUCAUGGUGAUGAAGGAGAGGUGGUUGCAGGACGUGCAAUGCCCCUGAAGACCUUGACUCAGAACAAACACACUGUCACCUCCACCCACAUCCCAUUGGCCAAAGGAGGUAACACGGCCAGGCCCACAUUAGUGGGAUGCAAAAUACAAUCUUCCCACAGUAGAAAGCACUUCAAAUUCCCAUGGCCAAGGACAAGAACAUAUCAUUUUAUUAUAGGAUAAAGUGAAAAACUAGGGACAAUAAUCUUGGUUACUGCAGGGAAAAUAAGACUUCUUAACAUUAUUGAGAACCAUAGACUUUAUAGUCAGAUGGUUUGGGUUUCCUGUGUAUGAGAAUUUGAUAUUAUACAUGAUGCAAUCUAAAACCUCAGAAACUCUCUAGACUUCUGGGUUCAGAAUGAUUAGUCAGUGAUCUGAAUCUCUAUCCAUUCCUUUUUUAAUCUCCUAAACUGCUGUUGAAUUGUUUUCAAAUGGGCCCAAAAGUUGUAUUUCUGAAUCUGAAUUUAACACAAGCUAGCCCUCUGAAAGGCAGUCCUUUCUUCCCUCCUAACCAAGUUCAGUGCUUGGAAAAAUUACCUAUUUAAGAUCCUUAAGCUCCAUAAAUUUAAAAGAACACUGUUUCCUCAAGCAAGCUUUUCUAGUUCAAAUAAUUUCAGAAUGGAGUCUGUUAGGAAAUGGUCCAGAGGUUGGGUGGGGGAUGGAAGGAAGACAGGGACUUACAAGGGAUAUUGCAAAUGACUACCUUAAAAUACCAACAUAAAGCAAUGGGUUCCCAAAGUCCUUCACACUGUUAUCAGACACAAAGAUUUGAACAAAAAUAAAUGAAACAUAGAAGUCAAAAGGUUUUCUUUGAAGUCUCAGGGUUAUUUGCUUCUGAAAGCAAAUGUGUUGUUCUCGCCUCUUAGCAAAACACUUUUCCUAUUGAUUCAUCACUUUAUUGCUUUUCCAUCUUCUCAGAACUUGAAUGGGGAUCCAAUCCAGUGGUCAGUAAUCUUUCUUCUUGACUGUUUCCAGAGACCUUGCCCUUUCCAUCUUUGCUCACAGUUUCUUCAGUUUGUUUCUUUUGACUCUGUUAUUUGAUGCUCUUUAAUAUUAUUGAAUCCUUGAAGCUAUAUGCAGAUUUUGUUUAAUGUUUUUAACAAAUACACACAUUCAUUUAGAGAAAAAGUGAAAUGCAUUUUUAAGGUCAUGCUGAAUCAGUAAAUGUAUUGUUGGGUAUUGUGGUCAUCUCUUCUUUCAGUGGGAAAUUUUAGCUUCCUGGAUUCUGUGAAUUUUGCAGAAGUACUUGAUUGUGAUAACAUCUUCAAACCCUUUCUUUACGUUACUAAGUCUGAGUUUGAAGGCCUGAGAACCCAGUCAGCUGCUAAUGCAAAUCAGAGUUCAAAGGCUGGGAAGCCUGGAGUUCUGCUGUUGAAGGGCAGGAGAAGAAGGGUGUCCCAGCUCCAGUAGAGAGGCUGAAUUCACCUUUCCUCUGCCUUUUGUUCUAUCUGAGCCCCCAGAUGAUUGUCUCGUGCCCACCCACAUUGACGGCAAAUCUUUCCCACUCAGUGUACCACUCACACAUUGCUAAGUGCAAAACAUCCCACUUCUUUUUUUUCUUUUGUCUAUAAAUUUGUGAGGCAAUUCCAGAAUCACGGCUUGUCAAGGCCCUGCAAUGCUUCCACAUUAUGGUUAGUAAGAAUUCUAAGCUGAAAUCAUGGAACAAGGCAAAGUCAAGCCAGUCAGAGACAGAAAAACUAUCUAUUAUUCUAUAUUAUUAUUUAAGAAAAUUACUUGGCACCUUACGUUUUAAAAGAAAAAGAAAGGGAUGGGAUUGUGGACAUUUUCAAGUUUUUAACUUUAGGUUAUUUACCUUGAUUUAACCUGACUCCUUACUACAUUUUACAUAAGAAAGUAAAUAAUUGACUAGAUAGACUGAUUAUUUUAAAUCCAGCUUACUAUUCAGAUAUUAAAAAGCUCAGACAAGUCACUGGAUUGUCUAACCUUGUUGAUUAAUUUGACAUGCUUGCCAUAUUAAGAAUUUGCAUGAACGAAAUUGUCAUUUAGCUCCCAUGAGCCACCCAGCUUCUAAGUGUUAGGAAAACAUUUAAUUCAAUGAACAUUUAUUAAGUGUCUUUCACCUUCCUGGAAAAGAUUGUUACUUCUCUAUUAUCUCCUUCAGGGCAUAACUUCUUGAAGGUAGAUAUAUUAUAUUGAAUUAAUUUCCAGUAUAAUAUCCUAGGAUGGUUUUAUUAACUCAGUGUUUAUUCAAUUAAUAAUAAUUAAAUGCACUUUUUCAGACUCAAUCACUGAUCACUUGGUAGUAAUUACCUCGAUAGAACCACAAAAUGGAGUCAGAAAUAACAGUGUGACUUCAUCUGGAUUAAAUUAAUAGGGUUUACGGUGCAUUUCAAUGGAUAAUGACAAGGACAAAUGCCUUUGGGGCAAAAUUGCAUGACAUGAUUAAAGGGAGCAAUGCUGACUUUUAUUUUAAAAUAUAAUAGCUUUACAAUCUAGUCUCUUCACCAAUAAUUGUUAAUUCCCAAUAUUUUCUAAUCCUUCUGGGCAUAUUAAAAAAGGGGAGAUUGUAUAUUAAAAUAUAAUUCCCUUCUGGCCCCAAAUAAGAAUAUAAAUAAGGAAUCUGAGUCUAAUUAUCUAGCAUUACAUUAGACCCUUAAGAAAAAAAUAAAUGUAAAGUUCAAAAAUGUGCAUAAUGUUUUAGUCUUUUAAGAGACCUAGAGGCCUCAUUUAUCAUUAGUAUAGAAAACAAAUACAGAAUAUACAUUGCUAUUUCUUCCAACUUUCAUAGUUUAAAAUAGAUCUUAUCUUCUCUUCCUUUUCUUCCUUCCCCUUUUCUCUUUCCUUCCCUUCCAAAUAAUGCAGUCCUAAAACCAUGAAUUGGGGCAGAGUAAGGGAAGCAUUUGUCCCCAAAGGAGAGAGCCACCAUGGUCCAGAGCAGGGUGUCAUAGAGCAGACACUCUCUAAGAUGGCUGCCCCACAGGGGUUUUAAAGCCUGAGCUGAGUAAGAAGAGUGUCCACCAAAAAGGGGCAAUCUGCUGUGGGCUGCCAGAACUCAAAGAGGGUGAGGAAAACAUCCAGGCGUGGGAGCUUCCCAGAGUGUUGAAGCUGAUGGUGUAAUUCUCAGUCUGAGUCUGAAGGCCUGAGAACCCAGUCUACCGCUACUGCAAAUCAGAGUUCAAAGGCUGGGAAGCCUGGACUUCUGCCAUUUAAGGGCAGAAGAAGGGUGUCCCAGCUCCAGUAGAGAGGCUGAAUUCACCUUUCCUCUGCCUUUUGUUCAAUCUUAGCCCCCAGAUGAUUGUCUGGUGCCCACCCACAUUGAUGGCAAAUCUUUCCCACUCAGUCUACCACUCACACAAACACACCGAGAAAUGAUGCUUUACCAGCUAUCUAGGUAUCCCUUAAUCUAGUCAAGUUCACACCCAACAUUAACCAUCACACCUACCAAAGAUGCAUCACCUGAGUGUAAUCAUGAAGAAACAUCAGACAACCCCAAUUUGAAUGACAUUUUACAAAAUAGCCUUUGAAAAGUGUCAAGGUUGUGAAAGUCAAAGAAAAACUGAGGACUUCUUCCAGACUGAAGGAAACUAAAAUGACAACUAAAUGUGAUGUGUGAUUUUGACCUAGAACCUUCUGUUAUAAAGCAUAUAAUUGGGAUGGUCAGCAAAACUUAAAUGGGGUCCGAGGAUUAAAGUUAGCAAAGGGCCAGGUGCAGUGGCUCACAGCUGUAGUCCCAGUGCUUUUUUAUGGUGGGAGGAUUGCUUAAAGCCAAGAGUUCAAGACAAGCCUAGGCAACAUAACCAGACCCCAUAUCUCCAAAAAAAAAAAAAAAUUUAGGUGGGCGUGGUGGUGUGAACCUAUAGUCCCAGCUACUCAGGAGGCUGAGGCAGGAGGACUGCUUGAGCCCAGGAGUUUGAGGCUGUAGCAAACUAUGAUCAUGGUAUUGCACUUCAGCCCAGUUGACAGAGACCCCAUCUCUUUAAAAAAAAAAAAAAAGUAUCGGUGUUAAUUUUCUGAUUUUGAUGGUUAUAUUGUGAUUAUGUAGGAGAAUAUGCUUGUAGGGAAAUACAUACUAAAAUGCUUACAGGUAUUAAGACAUGAGGUCAACAACUUACUCUAAAAUUGUCAGAAGAGCAAAAAACUUUUUGUUCUCCUCUGUACUUGCAACUUUUCUAAAAGUUUG